rnacentral:tRNA from 1 species
GGGUCGUUAGCUCAGUUGGUAGAGCAGUUGACUUUUAAUCAAUAGGUCGCAGGUUCGAAUCCUGCACGACCCACCA